rnacentral:rRNA from 1 species
GACGAACGCUGGCGGCGUGCUUAACACAUGCAAGUCGAACGGAAAGGCCCUGCUUUUGUGGGGUGCUCGAGUGGCGAACGGGUGAGUAACACGUGAGUAACCUGCCCUUGACUUUGGGAUAACUUCAGGAAACUGGGGCUAAUACCGGAUAGGAGCUCCUGCUGCAUGGUGGGGGUUGGAAAGUUUCGGCGGUUGGGGAUGGACUCGCGGCUUAUCAGCUUGUUGGUGGGGUAGUGGCUUACCAAGGCUUUGACGGGUAGCCGGCCUGAGAGGGUGACCGGCCACAUUGGGACUGAGAUACGGCCCAGACUCCUACGGGAGGCAGCAGUGGGGAAUAUUGCACAAUGGGCGGAAGCCUGAUGCAGCAACGCCGCGUGCGGGAUGACGGCCUUCGGGUUAUAAACCGCUUUCGCCUGUGACGAAGCGUGAGUGACGGUAAUGGGUAAAGAAGCACCGGCUAACUACGUG